rnacentral:rRNA from 1 species
UACGAAGGGGGCUAGCGUUGCUCGGAAUCACUGGGCGUAAAGCGCACGUAGGCGGCUUGUUAAGUCAGGGGUGAAAUCCUGGAGCUCAACUCCAGAACUGCCUUUGAUACUGGCGAGCUUGAGUCCGGGAGAGGUGAGUGGAACUGCGAGUGUAGAGGUGAAAUUCGCAGAUAUUCGGAGGAAUACCAGUGGCGCAAGCGACUAACUGGACGGGCAUUGACGCUCAGAUACGAAAGCGUGGGUAGCAAACAGG